AUUGAGCUAGAAUACUUUUAGAAGCACCAAUCCUUUGGUGCUUCUAAGUUUCUAACCCUUGGAUCUACUCCUUAAUUACUAAUAGCCCUUGGGUCAAACACUAUUCCACCUACCACCACCUACCACGAUCAUCCCAACCCCACGUCUCUCCAUCCAAUGAUUAAAAACUCGAAAGCACCACACACUUGGUGCUUUCGAGAGUAUUAUAGCUCAACUCAUAUAUAUAUAUACUAUACUAUAUAUGCUAUCAGAAGCAUAUAGGAUCUGGCGUUUUCGACUUUUGGACCCUUAAAUCAACCUCUUUUAUCAUUUUCAUCCAUUCGAUUAUACUAUUCAACUAACCACCCACUCAACCCUUGGGGGCCCACAUCAUCCUAACUGCACAUCUUUUAAUCCAACGGCAGAAAACUUUAGAGCAACAAGUCAUUGGUGCUAUUAAUAGUAUUCCAGCCUAAUAUAUGAGCUAGACUGGUAUACUAUCGGUAGCAUGGAGGUCUUCAUACUAUCAAGUUGUUUUCAAUGAUGCGGCUUCCAAAUCGACGAUCGGCCUCGUUAAACUUGAUCUACACUAUUAAAAAUAUUUGAAAACUAAAUUUCAUAAUUUUUCGACAUCAUUAAUUUAUCAAACGAAUAGUCUAAAAAUAAACGGCUGAAAAUAAAAAUCUCAUAAAAAAUGAUGAAAAAAUAUUUAAAUUUAAGAUUAGAGGUACUGAUCUUUCUUUAAAUAGUGAAAAUAAUUUUCUAUAAAAAUUUCAUCAGAUUUGGAUUAUUUUAUACUGUUGAAUUCACAAACGCAUUACAUCGACUAUUAAAAUUGUCAAUUUUGAGACCUUCGAUCACUAGCCAAAUGAUGUUGAAAAAUUAUGAAAUUUAGUUUUUAAAUACUUUUAAUCGUGUAGAUCAAAUCUAAAGGAGCGAUUGCCGAUUUGGAAGCCGCAUCAUUGAAAACAACUUGGUAGCACGGAGGUCUCCGUGCUACGGAUAGUAUACCAGCCUAGCGCUCUCUCUCUCUCUCUC
rnacentral:lncRNA from 1 species